CGUUAUCCGGAAUCAUUGGGCGUAAAGCGCCUGUAGGUUGUUUAAUAAGUCUGUUGUUAAAGACUAGGGCUCAACCCUAGAAAAGCAAUGGAAACUACUAGACUAGAGUAUGGCAGGGGUAGAGGGAAUUUCUAGUGUAGCGGUGAAAUGCGUAGAUAUUAGAAAGAACACCAGUGGCGAAAGCGCUCUACUGGACCAUUACUGACACUCAGAGGCGAAAGCUAGGGUAGCAAAAGGGAUUAGAUACCCCUGUAGUCCUAGCCGUAAACGAUGGAUACAAGAUGUUGUGCAUAACGUACAGUAUCGUAGCUAACGCGUUAAGUAUCCCGCCUGGGGAGUACGCUCGCAAGGGUGAAACUCAAAGGAAUUGACGGGGGCCCGCACAAGCGGUGGAGCAUGUGGUUUAAUUCGAUGCAACGCGAAGAACCUUACCAGGGCUUGACAUACUACAAAUUCUUUUGAGAAAAAGAAGUGCCUUCGGGAAUGUAGAUACAGGUGGUGCAUGGCUGUCGUCAGCUCGUGUCGUGAGAUGUUGGGUUAAGUCCCGCAACGAGCGCAACCCUUAUUUUUAGUUACUAAUUCGUUAGGUUCUCUAGAAAGACUGCCGGUGACAAACCGGAGGAAGGUGAGGAUGACGUCAAGUCAGCAUGCCCCUUAUGUCCUGGGCUACACACGUGCUACAAUGGUUAAGACAAAGAGUCGCGAGCUCGUGAGAGUCAGCUAAUCUCAUAAACUUAGCCUAAGUUCAGAUUGUAGGCUGC
rnacentral:rRNA from 1 species